rnacentral:rRNA from 1 species
GACGAACGCUGUUUGCGUGCUUAACACAUGCAAGUCGAACGGUCUACCUCGACGGAAACCUUCGGGUUGAAGACGAGACUAGAUAGUGGCGGACGGGUGAGUAACACGUGAAUAAUCUGUCCUCAAGUCCGGGAUAACCAGGCGAAAGUCGGGCUAAUCCGGGGUAAGCUGAGAGUGUGGCAUCACACAAUCAGAAAAGGUGGUUUUACCAUCGUUUGAGGAGGAGUUCGCGGUAGAUUAGCUAGCUGGUGAGGUAAUGGCUCACCAGGGCAACAAUCUAUAGCUGGUCUGAGAGGACGAUCAGUCACACUGGAACUGAGACACGGUCCAGACUCCUACGGGAGGCAGCAGUGGGGAAUCUUCCACAAUGGGCGCAAGCCUGAUGGAGCAACGCCGCGUGAGUGAAGAAGGUCUUCGGAUUGUAAAGCUCUGUCCUUAGGGAAGAACCGUGGGUAUAGUAACUGCUACCCACCUGACGGUACCUUUGGAGGAAGCACUGGCUAACUACGUGCCAGCAGCCGCGGUAAUACGUAGAGUGCAAGCGUUGUCCGGAAUUAUUGGGCGUAAAGGGUACGCAGGCGGAUAUUCAAGUCAAGCGUGAAAGGUGUCGGCUUAACCGACAGACUGCGUUUGAAACUGAAUAUCUUGAGUGUAACAGAGGAGAGUGGAAUUCCUAGUGUAGUGGUGAAAUACGUAGAUAUUAGGAAGAACACCAGUGGCGAAGGCGACUCUCUGGGUUAACACUGACGCUGAGGUACGAAAGCUGGGGGGAGCGAACGGGAUUAGAUACCCCGGGUAGUCCCAGCCGUAAACGAUGGAUACUAGGUGUUGGAGGUUCGAAUCCUUCAGUGCCGGAGUUAACGCAUUAAGUAUCCCGCCUGGGGAUUACGAUCGCAAGAUUGAAACUCAAAGGAAUUGACGGGGGCCCGCACAAG